GGGGGGGGGGGGAGGUGCAUCAGCAAAGGGAAGGUAAAAAGAAAACAACAGCACACACACACACGCGCGCGCGCAUACUCUGGCGUGUACCUCCGAUGGUGCAUUCGUGUACCGGUGAACUUUCGGGACGGUUUCGCAGGCACAGUGAGCCAUCGAGGUGGUUAAAUUGAGGUGGUUCUUGAGAAAAGUAUGUUGGAUUUGAUUUACCAAACACGUUUUCAUUCUUUCAGACACCAUUAAUUAAUAGUUUUCUGAAGUUCGGUAGACAAAAUUUGACACCUUUAUCAAUCGAACACUAAGCGUGAUGGCCAAAAACGGGAAGCAACUACCUAUAAAAGCGUGCACUGUCGAAGAAACGCACAGCAGCAGCAGCAGUGCGGCAGAUUGUAAGCGUCGCAUAAGUCCCUUUCGGCAUCUACAGCAUCUUGGCACUAUUAAACAACAAUUAGAGUAUCGAAGGAAAGUUCCCAGUUUCGAAUGGCCGACGAUCCUUAGCACCUAAAGGUUCCAAAGGAAGCUGCUAAUGAAGACAGAGAGACAAGUGGUGGCGUUCGCUUGGCCGAGAGGUCGAUGCAACGCACCAAACAGUGAAAUAGUACCUGGGAAACAUGAACAAACUAUAUCAGAAAUCAGAAAUCGCAUCCACGCGAAGGCCUCCCAGCGGCAAUGACUGCAAAACUAAAUGCUACCGUUUAAAGCGAAUUUCGUCUGAAUUUCGAUAUGACACCUUACGACGCGACACCAGUCCAACAUCCCCCAGCUGCGUCCCAUCAAAAUUUGCUCCAAUAAUACGAUGCAUGAGUUGUACACAUUUAAAAAUAUUUCACGAGCUCGGUUAAAAAAACUGCCGAAAUCGGUCGGCUCUUUCGAUUCUUGCUGAUAUGUCAGUUGAAAAAACCUAGUAGCCGGAAAUCAGUACCAUGUAAAACUGAAAUAUCAGUUAAAUAAAAAUUUGAACCGAAACUCGGCAACACAACAUGCCGAACACAUACGUUAACACUGCUGUCACCGAGCUAAUCCGUCAAAAUAACCGAGAUUUCAGCUUUACUACUUGGAUUAGCCGAGGCUCGGUAUUCUAUCUGUCAUUCACCAUUCUGUUAAUCUCGUGCUAAUGAAACGAAAACCUGUCGGAGUGAUGUUGUGAUGUAAAAUAAAAAAUGUAAAAAAAGUGAAAAUGAGUCUCUCAGCGUGAAAAAAACGAGAAUCAGUAGCGUGCGAUCGAGCACAGGUAUGGAGCGGGGUUGGGGCUAGGAAACUCCAUCAGCGCACGCAACCGGUACUCUUCAGAGCGUCGCUCGGAGCAGUCCCUAUUUAAGAAUCAGAUGUGGAAGCUAAUCCGGUUGGUUCAACCGUUCAGACUUCCAGGAUUCAUUUCCGGUCACCUACACGAGAACCGUGCCUGUACCAGUGCCCGCUCCUUGUCCGGCUCAUUUUCCUGUACCGGUACCACAUCCAAACGCUGUGCCCCAUCCGGCGGUUGAAUCGGCGCCUGUCCCAACGCUUUCCAUCACAUCAAAAAAACCCAUUUGAUACGCAAAUAAAAUCACUAAAAUAAAAAUAAAAUGUUUUUAUAUUUA